rnacentral:rRNA from 1 species
GAUGAACGCUGGCGGCGUGCCUAAUACAUGCAAGUCGAGCGAACAGACGAGGAGCUUGCUCCUCUGACGUUAGCGGCGGACGGGUGAGUAACACGUGGAUAACCUACCUAUAAGACUGGGAUAACUUCGGGAAAUCGGAGCUAAUACCGGAUAAUAUAUUGAACCGCAUGGUUCAAUAGUGAAAGACGGUUUUGCUGUCACUUAUAGAUGGAUCCGCGCCGCAUUAGCUAGUUGGUAAGGUAACGGCUUACCAAGGCAACGAUGCGUAGCCGACCUGAGAGGGUGAUCGGACACACUGGAACUGAGACACGGUCCAGACUCCUACGGGAGGCAGCAGUAGGGAAUCUUCCGCAAUGGGCGAAAGCCUGACGGAGCAACGCCGCGUGAGUGAUGAAGGUCUUCGGAUCGUAAAACUCUGUUAUUAGGGAAGAACAAAUGUGUAAGUAACUAUGCACGUCUUGACGGUACCUAAUCAGAAAGCCACGGCUAACUACGUG